CACGUAGGGGGCAAGCGUUGUCCGGAUUCGUUGGGCGUAAAGAGCUCGUAGGCGGCUCAGUAAGCCGGGUGUGAAACCUCCAGGCUCAACCUGGAGACGCCACUCGAUACUGCUGUGGCUAGAGUCCAGUAGGGGAGCGUGGAAUUCCUGGUGUGGCGGUGAAAUGCGCAGAUAUCAGGAGGAACACCAGCGGCGAAGGCGGCGCUCUGGGCUGGAACUGACGCUGAGGAGCGAAAGCGUGGGGAGCGAACGGG
rnacentral:misc_RNA from 1 species